rnacentral:rRNA from 1 species
CAGCCGCCGCGGUAAUACGAAAGGUGCAAGCGUUACUCGGAAUUACUGGGCGUAAAGCGUGCGUAGGCGGUCUGUUAAGUCUGUUGUGAAAUCCCCGGGCUCAACCUGGGAAUGGCAAUGGAUACUGGCAAGCUAGAGUGUGUCAGAGGAUGGUGGAAUUCCCGGUGUAGCGGUGAAAUGCGUAGAGAUCGGGAGGAACAUCAGUGGCGAAGGCGGCCAUCUGGGACAACACUGACGCUGAGGCACGAAAGCGUGGGGAGCAAACAGGAUUAGAUACCCCGGUAGUCCCUGUCUCUUAUAC